UUUGUUUGGUGGCUUCGAGUUAAAUCACUGCAUUGAGUGUUUUUAGAUAGAAAACAAGGUUAAUGUUGGUAGUUACUGCCUUCUUGCCUUGAAUCUCCAUGAAGGAGAGGCCAACAGAGCUUUCUUAAUCUCGGGGUACAGUGGGCCAUAGUGCUAGAAGUUUGGGGCCAGGAGUCAGUGUACUUGCCUGGCUCUGUCACCUCCCAAGCUGCAUGACUCACAAGCCUCUUCACCCUUCCUCCACUCUCUUACCUGC
rnacentral:lncRNA from 1 species